GGAGGGUAUAGCUCAGUGGUAGAGCACAUGCUUAGCAUGCAUGAGGCCCUGGGUUCAAUCCCCAGUACCUCCA
rnacentral:tRNA from 1 species